UCAUGUUUCCUCAACAGAGGUAAAUAAGCAGUGACAAUCAUUUUUCUUCUGAGAUUCAUGGCCUGCUUUCAUCACUAUCUUCUUUUGACAAGAAAGUUUUCCAUGACAGGGUUAUGUACUUUCUUAAAUUGCUAGUCUUACAUAAUUGAAGGAGUGGGGAGUUGGUCAUAGAAGCUAACAUGAUGCUUCAGCUAAGACCAAAAUGUAGACCCAAAUGUCAAUAGAAGGCAUAAUAAGAUUCUUCAUCCUUGAAUGGCCAGCGUGAACGAAUAGACUUCUGAAGACUGCAAACAGAUAGCAGCUUGUGAGGCAAGAAUGAAAAUAUCAACAAAGGAACUUCAAAUUCCAUGCCAGAGACCGAUCAAAAUGAAGAAGAUAUAUUUUGUAGAGGACCCAUCAGCAACAGCUGAGGACCAUCUUUUGUGCCAACCUCAAAGAGGCUCGUGGGCCAGCUGGAGUGUCUUGAAGGUGUUUGAUGCCGUUGCAUUCUAAUGUUAUCACUCCUGAACUCGAUGAGGCUCUGCAGAAGGAGAUUCAACCUGCAUUUCAUAAAAUUCAGAGAGCAAAUCCCCAAACAUCACAGGACGGAGAUGUGGGCAGGAGUGAGAUAAGUCACGAGAUGUUAUGGAAAGGCGUUCCAAAGUUCUUUGCCAAUGGUUCUUAUAAUGUGCUCCAUGUUAAUAAUCUUCAUAGGAUUCUUGAGAUAAAGGGACCUCUUCUAAUGUGGUGUAGUAGUCCUCUGCAAGCUUUGGCAUCAUGCUAUUAUUUAGCAAAGGUCAAAUUUCAAAAUGCUUGCAGGAAGACCGCAUGUGCAGGUGGUUCUGUAUGUGAAGUUAAGCACAAAGUCAUGUUUGUCAACAAGACUACCGUUUAGAUGUCGACUUCAAGCUGUGAGAGACUUCUUUCAUGGAAAAAGCGAAUGUCGUGGAAUCAAUAAAUAAUCUGUCAAUUGCAGGCAAGAUUUUCAGUGAAAAGGUUCCCAAAA